UACAGAGGGUGCGAGCGUUAAUCGGAAUUACUGGGCGUAAAGCGCGCGUAGGCGGCUUUGCAAGUCGGGUGUGAAACCUCCAGGCUCAACCUGGAGACGCCACUCGAUACUUCAAUGACUUGAGUUCGGUAGGGGUAAGCGGAAUUCCUGGUGUAGCGGUGAAAUGCGCAGAUAUCAGGAGGAACACCGACGGCGAAGGCAGCUUACUGGGCCGAUACUGACGCUGAGGAGCGAAAGCGUGGGGAGCGAACAGG
rnacentral:rRNA from 1 species